AAGAAAGUGGCAGAACGGUUAUGUGGUCGGCUUGAAACCGACCUAUGGGGGUUCGACUCCUCCCUUUCUCG
rnacentral:tRNA from 1 species